UCCUUUCCCUUGUUCUUACUCGAGGAAAUACAAGCAGUUGUUACGAAGGCAAGACAACAAGUUUUCUCGUGUUUUCAUUUCCCCCUCCUUUUCCUCUUACACUUGAUUUACAAUCCGGUUUUCCCUUCCAACAUCAAGUUUCCAUUUUCUUCUUCAUAAGACCAUGUCUUUCUACUCUAUGAAGAUCAUGACUUUCUAACUUAGCAACACCCUAUCACGAUUAAUAUGUUAUUUGCUUCUCUGAUAUAUUUUUUCACUUUAUGUUUUCAUGUUUUGUUGCUUGAAACAAGAAUGGCUUGGUCUCAACUUAGUCAAAUCAAAGUAAGUGAGAUACAUCCAGGUUUACAUUCGUGGCCCGUGAAAGCAAAAACCAUUCAAAUGUGGACUACCCAAGACAAGAAAGAUAAUACACGAGUCCCAUAUUUGCAACUCAUACUGUUUGACAGGUGAAUUUAAUUGCAAUUAAUGUUUCAUUUUGCACUUUAUAUGCUAUCUACGCUGGUGUUACUUCUCAUUUCAUUCCAUGUCUAACUGUAUACAUAUUAUGCUGAUAUAAAUAAACUUAUAUCAUAAAAUAAAUGAUUGAAUAGGAGAUCAGGGUACUUAGUGUGACACUCUCUACCCAAACAUAUAUAUAAAUGGGAAAAACGUAUAAAAUAUGAAAUCUAAUUAAAUUAAUUUUUAUUUAAUAAAAUCGUAAGUAAAUCUAUGUGAGUAAAAGAUCCACAUUCAUUUCACAGUUACUAAAUAAAAUUUUUCAGAAACAUUUCUAGCUCAAAAAUAAGGUCGUUCAAGUUUACAAAAAAACUCAAGUUAAAUAGCAAAAUAAAAUAAUAUAUUCGGAAUAUCAUGUAAUUAAAACAAAAAAAUGUAUCCUAAUGUCACAUCCUAUUAAAACAUUGUGUCCUAGCGUCCUUUAGCACGAGGUUCCUUAAAACAAUAUACCUAAUCAUAUGCUCUUAUGAACACAAGGAUUGAGAUCAUCAUAAAAUUCAAACACAAACAACACAAGAGAAUAAAAUAAAAUACAAAUAAAGAAAGACAUAAGCAAAAUACAUUAUGGAAAUAUUUAUCACAUAGUUCAACUUAAUACAAUCCACAUCACUUCACCGCUUUAUUAUUUAAAAUUCGUUUUUCAAUCACCAAUCACAUUACACAUGAAUCACACACUCGACUUAAGACGUAACAACACUUACCAAUUCAUAAUAAGCAAUUCACAUGUAUUAUGCAACAAUUAUAUUAAGACUCAAAUAUAUAUGCAAUGUGAUAUCAUAUCAAUGAAAAACAACACCAAAGUUUUAAGGAGUAUAUAACAAGACAUGCCAUACAAUGGGUAUGUCAGGUCACUCUCAUUAAGUAAAAUUAUAAGGUGACUUAUCAGGGUCACUCUCUUUUGCGAGAAUCUUCUAACCAUAUGGGAUCAACAUAAGCUUAAAGGAGCACUUAAACUGAGUGUAUUUACCCCCAAGGCCUAGACUCCGAAGAAUCCGUUAGGGUCUCACCUUUCUGAUUCAGGUCCAACCCCUAAAACAACUUUUGCACGUAGGCACUACUCAUGAAUUAUACAAUACCCACAACUCAUAACGCAAGUAAUAUCAUAUCAAGUAUUAAACACACACUUAUUCACAACCAUAUCCCAUGUCCAUAAUUUAACAUCUCACAAUAUCACAAUCCAUCAUCAUAUGUUCACAUGUAUCCUACAUAUUAAUACAUGCUCAACUUGUCACUUAUACUCAAUCUCAAUCAUAAUUUCAUAAUCCCAAAAUGAUAUGUCAUUACACCUCAUGUUUAUUUAUACAUUUUCAUAACAUUCAUAACAAUAUUCAUAAGGUACAACAUACACAUGUACAUCAAAUCUAACCAUAAUAUUCUCAAACUCUAAUACUUGAAUAAUUUUCUGAAUCAUACUAUAAAAACACUACAAUAUUAUUUACAUCAAAUCUAUGUAUAUAAAACUAGCACACAUCAUACUAGAUUUCAAAGUAAACAUUUCAAAAACACCAAUUAAAAAUAAUCAUAUGAACACUUUAACCCCCCCCCCCCCACACACACAUAACUAACAUGACACAAGGCAUAAGAGUAAACAAUUCAAAUAUAUAAAAAGUAGAAAGCAAAUCUACUGGACUCAAUUAUAUAAAAAACAUUAUCAUAAGUAAAUAUUUAUAUAGUAACUAAAGUUGUCAUUGAAAAUACCUUUCCAAACUAACAUGCAUAAUAUGAUAUUAUUAACAUGACUUAAUCUCAAAUAUUUUAAAAACACACACACACACACACACACACACACACACACACAUAUAUAUAUAUAUAUAUAUAUAUAUAUAAAUGUAAAAAUAAGUAUAUAUGAAUUCAUAUAUAUUAUCUAAGAAUACAUCACACAAUCUACUAGGAAUCUUCGGUCAAUUUCAAUUAUAAUAUUAGUUCCAAACUAUAUAAAAGAAACCCUAGAAAGCACGAAAAGGGAAAAAUACAAAAUCAAUAUCUCACUCUUAUGGGAAAUCUUUCCUUAUUUAAUUUCAUCAAUUCACGCUAAUUAGAAAAUUUCCAAUUUCUCGGGUUCACACUCAACACAAGAACAUAUCAAUUUCACAACAAUUUCGGCAUCGGGACGUCAAUCGAUCUGUCAAAUACAGUCAAUUUGUAGUUAUAAUUGUACAUGAAAAAUUAAAACGCAUAAAACGCCCCAAAAUUAUUCCCAAUUUGAUUCUCUAAGGAUCCCUACACAUAUUCACUCUAACCUCAAUUGCAAUAAACUCAUCUCUUAUCUCUAAGUGGGAUCGCGUGUGUAUUCCAGUAGUGAUAGCAGUGUCUCUAGCAGCUCUCUAAGAUUGUUCAAGCUUUUCCUUUGGUUUCUUUGCUAGGGUUUCCAAGCAUUAGAGAGAAGGAGAAGAUAUUAAAGCCUUAAUUUCACUAUCUCCGUGCGAGGGAUAUUUCUCUCUACAAACAUUAUUCCACAAAUCGCAAUGGUGAGAAUGUGCAAAAAUGAGUUCUAAAGGUGGUGUCCAAAUUUUAGGGUGAUCCAACGAUUAACGAGUUUGACAUCAUAGUUUUAUUGGAACAAGUUUUAGUGUGUGAAAAAAAAAGGAAUUUUGGAGAGGAAUAAGGAAAAUGAAUUUGGGAGGAAUAGACAGUGUAGAAACAUAUUGUAAAUGUAAAAACUGAUCUAAUAUGUUUCUAUUUAUAGUUAGGGUACUCUGAACCUAUUAUUUAUUCUAUUUUUCUUUAUUUUAUUAUUUUAUAAAAAUGAAUUUUAUUUUACUCCUUUUCAAAUGAAUAAAUAAAAUAUUCUUUUUAUUUUCUAAAAACAUUUAUUUUAUUUAUCCCGAAACCAUUAUUUUGAUUAAUAAAACUAUUUCUCCUUAUUUAUUUAAUUACAAAAAUCUCAUUAUUUUUUAAAAACUCUAUUUAUUUUUGAAUAACACUUUUUUUAAUUUAUUUUACGAAAAAUAGAGUGUUACACUUAGAUAAUAUGUGAUAAAUCUGAUACUUCUCUUUCAGCUAGCUAAUCACGUGUAAGCUUUACCUGUUAGCAAAAUAUGUAGUAGGUACCUGGAUGUGGCUUGAUAUAUAGGCUUGUAUUUUGGCCAUGUUUUGCCCUAUUGCUUUACUUGGGUUAUCUGCUAUUUACCAAGGAUUUCUCAAUGUAAGUUCUCUGUAACCUUUUGAUGCAAUCCUACCCCGCAAGGGUAUUGGAUAGAAGACUCCAAGUAGAUUGGGCCAGAGAUGCAAGAGAAGGCCCUAGGGUUCUUAUGAGUCUUAGGAUAGAUUUUGGGCCCAUGGGCUAAGUAUGAGCCCACUUAUCUUUGUAAAUAUUAGAUUAAGGUUUCAUUAUUUUUGGGCCUUGUAUUUAGGGCUCCAUAAUGUAGGUAGAGUACCUUAGAAAUAUAGGAUUUUUCAGCCCUUGUAUUUUAGGGCACCUAGACUAGUUUUUUGUAUUAGGGGUAGUUUUGUAAUUUCACAUGCACUAAGUGAAUAUUUGAUGUGUGUGGUUGAAAAUAAAUUUAAUUGAAUUGGUAGAAGCCCAAUCCAAUGUAGCUAAUAAGUGAAUAUUUGAUGUGUUUCAAAGGUACAAGCUUACCCUACUUGAUUUUGAUAUAGAAGUAUGGGGUCUAUAUGUUUCAGAAUCUCAAUGUAGCUAAUAAGUGUACAAUUGAGAGAAUAACAAAUCACAAAUAUAGGUUGGUUUUGACAAGGUAUUUUGUUAUUAGAUCUAUCAAAUAGAAAAAACUUAAGGAUAUUGUCAACUUGACAUAAUGCAACUCACCUAAUAGGUUAGGCUUCAUUAAAAGUGUUUAAGAUCGUUUUCCUUUAUUUAAUAGGGUUUUGUACAUACUGUUUAACACAACCUAUAUGUUUGACGUUGUUGGAUUGCUAACUGUAAUGUCAUCUUAAAAAACUUAUAUAAAAGAUGGACAAGCUGUUAGGAGAAUUUUCUUGCAAAUAACUAAUAACACGUAUUUAUUCUAGCUUACUAUUUUUUGUCCAUUUUUUAAAUUUGCUUUCACACUUUCUAUUAUUUGAGUUUUGACGACUUUGUCCAUAAUUUAUUAAACUUAGUGGCUCAAUAGGAUGUGCUUUAUCUAAUGAAUGUGUUGACACUAUCAAGGAAUUCUUUGAGGACACUGAUGACUCUAUUUCAAUGUUAAUAAUACAUUAUGCAAUUAUCUGACCUUAUGAUUAUAUGUUGUUUCAUUAGUUCUCUUUCACAAUAUUAUUUUCCUGCUAUGAAAAAGAAAAUCUUAACUAUUAUCAAUUAUUAUUUUUUAGGUUAUGUAGUGAUUAAGAAUCAACCAACAAUCACUAAUGUGGUUUUCAAUCUUGAUAUCCCUAAGAUUGUGGAAUUGAAGAAAUAAUAUGUAGUUCCAGUCUACUCUACACAACAAAAUUUCAAUUAUAUAUACACCAAUAUUUUUAGUAAGAUUAAUUUGAUUUCACUUCUCAACUUAAUUCAAGAUGGUUGGGACAUGAAUAGCAAAGAUUCAACUUCCUCUUUUGAAACAUUCACCAGAUCCUCUUCACAAUCUCUUAUUUGACCAAGACUCCUGUGAUAGCAAAAAUUACCAAAAACAUAUUCGGGCUUAUAACCGAAUGUUUGUUUUCACAUCACUAGGAGCAAAGCUUGACAAAUCCUUCAACAAUGGGAGGACCACCAUCUUUUAGAAUACAAGGC
rnacentral:lncRNA from 1 species